rnacentral:rRNA from 1 species
GAUGAACGCCGGCGGUGUGCCUAAUACAUGCAAGUCGUACGCACUGGCCCAACUGAUUGAUGGUGCUUGCACCUGAUUGACGAUGGAUCACCAGUGAGUGGCGGACGGGUGAGUAACACGUAGGUAACCUGCCCCGGAGCGGGGGAUAACAUUUGGAAACAGAUGCUAAUACCGCAUAACAACAAAAGCCACAUGGCUUUUCUUUGAAAGAUGGCUUUGGCUAUCACUCUGGGAUGGACCUGCGGUGCAUUAGCUAGUUGGUAAGGUAACGGCUUACCAAGGCGAUGAUGCAUAGCCGAGUUGAGAGACUGAUCGGCCACAAUGGAACUGAGACACGGUCCAUACUCCUACGGGAGGCAGCAGUAGGGAAUCUUCCACAAUGGGCGCAAGCCUGAUGGAGCAACACCGCGUGAGUGAAGAAGGGUUUCGGCUCGUAAAGCUCUGUUGUUGGAGAAGAACGUGCGUGAGAGUAACUGUUCACGCAGUGACGGUAUCCAACCAGAAAGUCACGGCUAACUACGUGCCAGCAGCCGCGGUAAUACGUAGGUGGCAAGCGUUAUCCGGAUUUAUUGGGCGUAAAGCGAGCGCAGGCGGUUGCUUAGGUCUGAUGUGAAAGCCUUCGGCU